GACGAACGCUGGCGGCGUGCCUAAUACAUGCAAGUAGGACGCAGAUGCGAACGUGUGAGUAACGCGUCGGUAACUGCCUAUUAGCGGGGGAUAACUCUUGGAACCGAUAGCUAAUACCGCAUACUAGUAGAUUGACCUUCGUUGUAUUAGCUAGGAGGGAGGGUAAUGGCCUACCUAGGCGACGGUACAUGGCCGACCCGAGAGGGGGAUCGGCCACACCGGGACUUAGAAAAGGGCCAGACUCCUAAGGGAGGCAGCAGGAGGGAAUCUUCGGCAAUGGGGGGAACCCUGAACGCGCAACGCCGCGUGAGUGAAGAAGGGUUUCGGAUCGUAAAGCUCUGUUGUUAAGGAAGCGGUACUUAACCAGAAAGGGACGGCUAACUACGUGCCAGCAGCCGCGGUAAUUC
rnacentral:rRNA from 1 species